rnacentral:rRNA from 1 species
UUUCGCAAUGCCCGAAAGGGUGACGAAGCGACGCCGCGUGGGUGAGGAAGGCCCUCGGGUUGUAAAACCCUGUCAGGAGUUAAGAAAUAUAGGUGCGCUAAUAUCGCAUUUAUUUGACGAAGGCUCCAAAGGAAGCCACGGCUAACUCUGUGCCAGCAGCCGCGGUAAUACAGAGGUGGCAAGCGUUGUUCGGAAUUAUUGGGCGUAAAGAGCACGUAGGUGGGUUUGCAAGUCAGAUGUGAAAGCCUUCUGUUCAACGGAAGAAUUGCAUCUGAAACUGCAAGUCUUGAGUGUAGGAGGGGAGAAUGGAACUUCUGGUGGAGCGGUGAAAUGCGUAGAUAUCAGAAGGAACGCCGGCGGCGAAAGCGAUUCUCUGGCCUAUUACUGACACUCAGUGUGCGAAAGCUAGGGGAGCAAACGGGAUUAGAUACCCCGGUAGUCCUAGCCGUAAACGAUGGGCACUAAGUAGAGGGGUUUUA